GAUGAACGCUGGCGGCGUGCCUAAUACAUGCAAGUCGAGCGAACGGACGAUACUCUUGCUUCUCUGAUGUUAGCGGCGGACGUGUGAGUAACACGUGGAUAACCUCCCUAUCAGACUGGGAUCACUUCGGGACACCGGCGCUAAUACCGUAUGAUCUUUUGCACCGCAUGGUUCAAAAGUGAAAUACGGUCUUGCUGCCACUUCUCGAUGCAUCCGCGCUGCAUUAGCUAGUUGGUACGGUAAAGGCCUACCACGGCAACGAUGCAUAACCGACCUGAGAGGGUGAUCGGCCACACGGGAACGGAGACACGGUCAAGGCUACUGAGGGAGGCAGCAGUAGGGAAUGUGCGGCAAUGGGGGAAAGCAUGACGGAGCAGGGGCGCGUGAGUGAUGAAGGCGUUCGGAGCGGAAAAAUCUGUUAUUAGGGAAGAACAGAUGUGGAAGUAAAUGUGCAGAGAGUGACGGUAACGAAUAAGAAAGCAACGGCUAACUACGUG
rnacentral:rRNA from 1 species